GAUGAACGCUGGCGGCGUGCCUAACACAUGCAAGUCGAACGGACAGACGCGGAGCUUGCUCCUCUGACGUUAGCGGCGGACGGGUGAGUAACACGUGGAUAACCUACCUAUAAGACUGGGAUAACAUCGGGAAGCCAGUGCUAAUACCGGAUAAUAUAUUGAACCGGAUGGUUCAAUAGUUACAGACGGUUUUGCUGUCCCUUAUAGAUGGAUCCGCGCCGUAUUAGCUGGUUGGUAAGGUAACGGCUUACCAAGGCAACGAUGCGUAGCCGACCUGAGAGGGUGGUCGGCCACACUGGAACGGAGACACGGUCCAGACUCCUACGGGAGGCAGCAGUGGGGAAUCUUCCGCAAUGGGCGGAAGCCUGACGGAGCCACGCCGCGUGAGUGAUGAAGGUCUUCGGAUCGUAAAACCCUUUUAUUGGGGAAGAACAAAUGCAUAAGUAACUAUGCACGUCUUGACGGUACCUAAUGAGAAAGCACCGGCUAACUACGUG
rnacentral:rRNA from 1 species